UACAGAGGAUGCAAGCGUUAUCCGGAAUUAUUGGGCGUAAAGCGCGCGCAGGCGGUCGUCCGCAGCCCGGCGUGAAAGCCCCCCGGCUCAACCGGGGAGGGUCGUCGGGAACGGGGCGGCUUGAGGACGGCAGGGGCAGGUGGAAUUCCCGGUGUAGUGGUGAAAUGCGUAGAGAUCGGGAGGAACACCCGUGGCGAAGGCGGCCUGCUGGGCCGAUCCUGACGCUGAGGCGCGAAGGCGUGGGGAGCGAACGGG
rnacentral:rRNA from 1 species